ensembl:lncRNA
UUACUCCUACGUCUGCGCCUGCGCCAGGUGUUCCCCCAUGCGCCUGCGCACCGCAGGGAGCUCCAGUGUCAGGCUCCUCCUCCUCACUCUUUCGCUUUCACUUUCCCAACAGCAAGGGGAUCUUCCAGUUGCUUAAGAAUUAGAUGGAAAAUGAAAGGGGAGGCUUUCCCCUUUUCCCCAACUGCUGGAACCCGGACUCUAAUAUCUGCACCUGGCCGAGUCUUGUGAGGUGGAGUCAAGAUGGUGUCUUAGACGCAGCAAAAGUCCAGAACUCUCUAAAACCCUUCUACACCCAUCAAAAACAAGGUGCUUCGAGGGGACAGAAAACCAAAUCUAACCGCAAGACAGAGCUGGGAGACCCUCCUGCUGGAUUCAGCUUAAAAGGAAAAACUACUCCCUCAAAAGCUCCAGUAUUGGCAUUUACCCCCCCACCAAGUCCUGUAAACCAAAGCUGGCUGGUGGAGAUGCCAUGGGAAGACUCCAGAAGAGAGUUCCUUUGAGGGAGAGAGCAAAAAGGGCUGCGGCAGAUCUGCCCUCUGGAAUCAAGCAAGUCAAGAUCCUUCUUAUCUAGGACAGCCAUUCAAAUAUUUGAAGAUAAUUUUUAUGUUUCCCCAAGACUUCUCUUCCAUUUCCUUCAACAAGCCCUUGUGUGAUGUGAUCUGGCCCUUUUCAGUCUUGGUCUUACCUUUAUUACUUUCCAGUUUAUUAGUAUCCUGUACUAAGAACUAAACACAGCCCUCCAGAUAUGUUUCAACCAGGUCAAAAUAUUAUAACAUUCCACAUGUGUCCCCACCAGGACAGAAUAUCCACUCUUUUUUUCUGGACCAUAAUGCAACCUGGACCAUAUUGUCUUUUUCAACGGUUAAGUUACACUGUUAAACUUUCAGAUCUUUUUUUCAGUAGAAUUGAAAUAUCAGACUGAGACCUAUAUCUGUGUGCCCUAGUGAGAUGAAGCAGAUAUGUUUAUUUAAUAUUUCCUUUUUCUUCAUGCACUUUCCAUUCCUGCCUUGAUUUUAUUCUCUUUUCUUCCACCUCUUCUGCUCCCUUCCCUUCUCUAAUUCAUUCUUUGUGAUUCUCUCAAUCUUGAAGAGAAGUAUUUCAGGUAAAAAAGCCUUGAAUUUAAGGUCCCAUGAGUGGCCCUUGGUCACUAAAUUAAACAAAUAUUUACUAAGGGUUCACCAUAUACAAAAUACAUGAGAGAGUUAUAAAAACAAAUAAGGCAAUCUCUGGCUUCGUGGAGCUUGCUCUUGAAUGUGGGGAUAGUAGAUCUACAACUAGAAUGCAAAGUUAUAAGUAAGAGAUGUAUAGGGUGUUUCCUUGAACCAAAGGAGGUCCAAAGAGAAUGACAAAAGACUUAAUGGAGGAGAGAAUGAUGGAAAAGCUAGAUUUUAAGAGUUGAUAAAUUGUCUGCUUUGUGUGGAUUUUGGAGAAUGGCGUAAUCUAGAGAAAUACUUUCUGGUUCAAUAUGAGUGGUUUGUUAAGAAGAAGCUAAAAAAAGAGUGUAACUUGAAAAAUUUGUUUCAGGAUUGCUAAAAAGAAGCCACAUUCCUUUUCUUUCUGAUUUUCAUGAUUGACUGCAACAUUUCAUCACAGAACUGAGUUUCUUUAGAGCUCAAACUGCUGAAUCAGUUUGCAUAGAAUUUUUUUUUUGCUUCUUAAAAUAAAGGAACUUUCAAAAACA